rnacentral:rRNA from 1 species
GCUGGCGGCGUGCCUAAUACAUGCAAGUAGAACGCUGAAGAGAGGAGCUUGCUCUUCUUGGAUGAGUUGCGAACGGGUGAGUAACGCGUAGGUAACCUGCCUUGUAGCGGGGGAUAACUAUUGGAAACGAUAGCUAAUACCGCAUAACAAUGGAUGACACAUGUCAUUUAUUUGAAAGGGGCAAUUGCUCCACUACAAGAUGGACCUGCGUUGUAUUAGCUAGUAGGUGAGGUAAUGGCUCACCUAGGCGACGAUACAUAGCCGACCUGAGAGGGUGAUCGGCCACACUGGGACUGAGACACGGCCCAGACUCCUACGGGAGGCAGCAGUAGGGAAUCUUCGGCAAUGGGGGCAACCCUGACCGAGCAACGCCGCGUGAGUGAAGAAGGUUUUCGGAUCGUAAAGCUCUGUUGUAAGUCAAGAACGGGUGUGAGAGUGGAAAGUUCACACUGUGACGGUAGCUUACCAGAAAGGGACGGCUAACUACGUGCCAGCAGCCGCGGUAAUACGUAGGUCCCGAGCGUUGUCCGGAUUUAUUGGGCGUAAAGCGAGCGCAGGCGGUUUGAUAAGUCUGAAGUUAAAGGCUGUGGCUCAACCAUAGUUCGCUUUGGAAACUGUCAAACUUGAGUGCAGAAGGGGAGAGUGGAAUUCCAUGUGUAGCGGUGAAAUGCGUAGGUAUAUGGAGGAACACCGGUGGCGAAAGCGGCUCUCUGGUCUGUAACUGACGCUGAGGCUCGAAAGCGUGGGGAGCGAACAGGAUUAGAUACCCUGGUAGUCC